GGACCAAUCAUACACCACCAUGGAGCCGAGCCUAGACGAGGAAGAUGAGGAGGACGAUGACUUGGAGGUGGCCGAGAGGAGGGGGGCGGUGACUGGUCAGAGGCGGCCUGUGACUCUAAUUGGGCCAGCAAGGGGGCCAGGUCUGCCCCCCAUCAGACGUCUGCGGUUGCGGGGUGAUUGGUCUGAUACGGGACCAGAUGCCAGACCGGAGCGGGAACCCGGUCGAAGUGGAGACGUGGGCCAAGCCAGACCAACUCUACACGCGACUCUGAUGCAGCGCAUGACAGAUGUGCUCUCGCGCAUGCUCAAUGACCCAGCUACCAGGGCGGCACUAAGUCAUGGCGGUGAAGAGGACAAUCCCCCUACUGGGCCGUCAGAGGUUGACGUGGGGGCGGGAGGAGAGGAACUGGUUCUGCCCUUUGUGCAUAGUGGGGAGAGACUGGAAGAAAACCCUCUCAAUAUGCUCAUCACUCCUGAUCGCUCGCCCGUUCAUGCUUCAGAAAGCGCCACGGACAUGGUGUGGACUGACGAUGUGAAUACUAGUCAACAAUCAGCUGUUCCCUCCACCUCCUCCUCAUCCCCCUCCACCUCCUCCUCAGCCUCUACCUCCCCUCCCUCCCAGAAGCAGCCGCCGCCAAGGAAGUACUCCCUCCCUUCCUUCAAGACCAUCUACUCGGUCUACACCAAUACAGCUGAUCCUCUUCCCCCCUCCGCUAUGGAAAGGGGUGUUGUCAAUACGAGCGCUGUUGCCACGUCUGGCGGGUGCUGCAGUGUUGCCGCGUCGACCGCCACCUCAUCUGAAGUUCCUGGCAUAAAUGUGGAUGAACCCUCCACUUCUUCGGCCUGCUCCUCCACUGUUCCUCCUUUUGUUCCUCCUCCUUCCUCUUCUGCUCCUCCUCCUUCUUCUGCUCCUCCUCCUUCUUCUGCUCCUCCUCCUCCUUCUUCUUCGUCUGAUUCUGCUUCUGAGCCAAUGGCAGCAGGCGGUAGUGGAAGUGGGAGCUCUCCCACCGAUCAGGAGAAUGUUUCAAAUCUUAAAGAUCAGCUGUAUACUAUGCGUCACGGAUUCAUUGAGAAACAUGGUACAGAGCCAAUGGUGAACCUGCAUUACUCAGAGAAGGGCUCGACAACAUCCAGGAUCACAAUGUGCGUGGCUGAUGAAGUCAACAGGGAAGUGGCAUCUACAUCCACCUCUGCCUCCACAUCCACCUCUGCCUCCACAUCCACCUCUGCCUCCACAACCACCUCUGCCUCCACAUCCACCUCUGCCUCCACAUCCACCUCCACAUCUUCAUCUAAUCCUCCUAGUCAAGGUGCCAUUGCUGCUAGUCCAUCAACAUCAUCAUCAUCGUCAUCGUCAUCAUCAGCUGAUGUCAAACUGCCUGUUCACCCUGAAUACUUACAUAACAACCCAUUGAGACCUGAAGCCAUAGUAGCUGAAGAUACUCUGAGAGGGCUGAUAAGACCGGAUGAAAGGCAUUUCGAGAAUCUGCUUGAAACAGCUCGUGGCAAGAGAAGUGACAGACCCAUCAAUCCACUCUGCGAGAAGACCAAAGUUCCUAAGCAUACUCCUGUUAAAAUUAAGUUCACCGGCCAUCGUAAUGCCAGGACUAUGAUAAAAGAAGCGACGUUCUGGGGCCGCGACCAUGUGCUAUCAGGCUCGGACUGCGGCCACGUGUUCGUGUGGGAACGCACGGCACCCGCCCGCCUCGUGAUGCUGCUGGAGGCCGACCACCACGUGGUGAACUGUGUGCAGCCGCACCCGCACUUGCCUCUGCUCGCCACCGGGCAUCGACUAUGACGUCAAGCUGUGGGCGCCUGUGCGUGACGAGCCCGCUUUCAACGCCGAAAUGGCUGAGGAGUUGAUGAAACGCAACGAGGUGAUGCUAGAGGAAACGAAAGAUACAAUCACCGUACCAGCCUCAUUCAUGAUAAGAAUGUUGGCCUGUCUCAAUCAGAUCCGACGAAGUACAAGACCACCACGUCCUCGAAGAUUUGAGUCUAACAGUAGCGAAUAGGGUGCUACAUUCAUAAUUUUUUCCUGAUUUUAAAAUUUUAUGAAUUAGAUUGAUAUCUUAUCUUUACUUUCCAAUAAUUGUGUGCAAAUUCUAACAUUUUAUUGGUGUGUCUCCUUAUCAGUUCUACUAACAUUAUAAACAGUGUGCGUAAUUAUGCGUGUCGUAGAUUUUCAAAACUAAAUAGUGAAUAUUUAUGAGGCUAUGUGUUCCGUGUUAGAAAUCAAUAAGUAUUUUAUUGAGAUUUCUUUCUAAAUCAUUAUCUAUAUUCAUAAAUAUAUAUUUGAUGGAGUAUACUUGUGUCGUGACAUAAUUCAGUCCAGUAAUUCUGUUGUGUUAGCAUUCUAGAUGGAAAGUAUCUUUUAGGGGCUGUUUCCAAGCUCGGGAUUAUGCUAAGUUCUAGUCUUUAAACAGCUGGAGUCAGAAAAUUGGCUUUCCGAAACGGGGCGUAGUCGUAUUCACGUUUAAAUUAAGUUUCUAAAAACUAGAAAAUUGAACACAAAAUAAAAUAAAGAGAAAUUAGUGUAAAGUUUCAGCUAUUUUGAAUUAUUUAGGAAUGUUUCAUUCCGUCAAGGGAAAACGUUUCCAAUUAUAGAAAUGAGAAAAUAAAGAUUUGACCGAACGUAGUGAGGUCUAUGUUUUAACUCAGAUACUCUUUUGUCUGUCUGUAUGUAACGCGAUUACGGCCUAACGCGUUGAAAGUAUUCGAAGAGAUGUUGUAGGAAUAUUCCUUUUUCAAUUGCGCGUCGAUGUAUACACAAGGUUUUUUGAAAUUUUGCAUUUUUAGGAUAAUAUGAAAAGAAAAGGAAUUCCUCCAUACUCUGAUAUCACUAUAUAUAUAUAUCGUCUACUUUGAAGAUAGGAUCAAUCAGACUAUAGAAUUAUUCAUAAUCAAUCAGCUGACAAGUGGAUUAUUCUUUGCAUGCAUUACACAGAUGUCUGGCCGUGUCUAUUUCUAUAAGGUAGGUUUUCAAUAUGUUUUAUGAUGCGUGCCCAUCAGUAUCAAUAUUCUAAAUAGAACAAAAGCCUCUCGUAUGAGGUAAUGAUAUUUUGUGCUGGCAGCUUGACAGUAACUUCAAUAACACUAUUUACAAUUUCUUGAUGAUUUUCUCCCAUCUCUUUCUGUCCCUGGCUAUUGUCGGCCACAUAUCUCCAACUCUUUGGGUGAGCUCGUCUCUCCAUCGGCACGCUGGACGUCCUCUCCCUCUGGCCCGAUCUCGUGGUAUCCACUCCGUGCAUAUUUUCGCCCAUCGCUCUGCUGUCAUCCUUGCCACAUGGCCGGCCCAUCUCCAUUUUAUCAGGUGAGCUUCUUUUUGUAGGUAUUUCACCUUCACCUGCUUCAGUAAGUCUGUGUUUCGUCUUCUAUGAUGCAUUCGCAGUCCCAAAAUACUCCUUAUCAUCUUCGUCUGCGUUGUCUCCAAUCUCUUGUCUGAUUGAGCCGUCAGGGACCAAGUCUGAGCACCAUAUAAUAUAGCUGGAUAAACACAUUUCAGAAGCAAUUUGGCUUUCAAUUCAUUCGCAAAGUCGCCCUUGAAUAUCUUCUUCAGUGCCCAAUAUUUUUUCCAACCCUUGUUUAUCCUCAAACUCACGUCCUUUCCCGUUCGGUUCUCAAAAGAAAGCAGUUGGCCCAAGUACUCAUACUCAUUGACAUAUUCUAUUCCACCACCUGUAACAUCAAUUAUUUCCGUGUCUGAAUUCGUCAUUACUCUUGUUUUGCCUGCAUUCAGACACAGACCAAUUUUCUUGCUGGCUUCUAUAAGUUCAUCAAACAUUUCUUUCAUCUCUUCCGCACUUUUUGCCACUAACAUCACAUCAUCUGCAAAUCUUAAGUUGGUUAGUUGAUAGCCAUUUAUGCACAAGCCUUUGCUCUCCCAACUUAAACGGCGAAAAGCAUAGUCCAAGCAGCAAUUGAAGAUGAUUGGUGACAAUGGACAUCCUUGCUUGAGUCCUUUCCUCACUCUAAUACUCCUUCCUCUUCGCUCCAACUCGAUGUACAUUUCAUUAUCCUCAUACAAGCAUUGAAAAGCUUGUAUGAGGAUAAUGAAAUGAUUUAAAAUAAAAUGAUUAAAUGAACUAAAUAAUGCUGAAGAAAUUAUAAUAUUCUUGAUUGAAAAAAAAUAAUUAUAGAAUAGAUGAGAAAUACUUUUAUCAGAUUGAAAGAUUAUCACGGAACUGGAUAAAUUAUCAUAUGGGAUACAAAUUCAACUAUGUUCAUUAACAUAAGUGAGUUUUUGAUCUUGGAGAGAUCAAAUAACAGUUUUUAAGAGUAAAUUAUGAUUCAACUGUGAAUUGUGAUUCAACUGAAUCAACUAGUACAGGUGACAUCAUAUACUUGUGGAUGAGAAAACUUCGUGAGGUCUACUGUCCACAGAACUACUAGUUUUGCUGCAACUAUUUACUGCGACUACGCCCAAUUUGGAAAGUCAAUUUUCUUACUCUAUCUGUUUCAAGUAUACAAUUUACCUAAAUCCCGAGCUCGGAAACCGUCCCUUAAAGUUAUAUUUAUUUUAUUUAUUAUAAUUUCUACAGGGUAGCACUGAUUGGGAGAGAAAAACUAAGGAUACUCCUUGUACUAUUUCUCUCCCAAAUUUAGAUAACAUUUUAAAUAUAUUUGUGGUUAUGUAUUCAUGAUAGAAUUUAAGAUAUAUUUUUAUUUAAAUCAUCAACUUUAUUCACAAAUAUAUAUUUGAUGGAAUAUUCUUGUGUCCUAACAUAUUAAUUCAGUCCACUAGAUGUGUUGUGUAAUCAUUCUAGAUGGAAAGUAUCUUUUGAAGUUAUCUAUUUGUGGUUAUGUAUCCAUUAUAGAAAUAAAAAAAAAUUCAUUGUAAACCAUUAACUUUAUUCACAAAUAUAUAUUUGAUAUGUAUUCUUGUGUCUUAACAUAAUUUAGUCCCACUUUUUGUGUAGUUGAGAAGUUGAUAUUGUGGUAAUUAUUCAUAUUGAAUAAAAAAAGACUAAGAAAUUGUCAAAAAACCA